rnacentral:rRNA from 1 species
CAUGUCCUUUAGAAUUUAAUUUAAGGUCUAGCCUGCCCACUGAAAUUAAUUUUAAAUGGCCGCAGUAAUUUGACUGUCCAAAGGUAGCAUAAUCAUUAGUUUUUUAAUUGAAAGCUUGUAUGAAAGGUUGGACGAGGUAAAAUCUGUCUCUAAUUAAUUUAAUUUAGAAUUUAACUUUUAAGUUAAAAGGCUUAAAUAUAAUUAAAAGACGAGAAGACCCUAUAGAUCUUUAUAAUUUAUUUAUUAAAUUUAAUUAAGAAUUUUUAAAAUUUUAUUAAUUUAAUUAUUUUAUUGGGGUAAUGUAAAGAUUAAAUUAAUUCUUUUUUUUUAUUAACAUUAAUUUAUGAUUUUAUGAUCCAAUUUUAUUGGCUAUAAGAUUAAGUUACCUUAGGGAUAACAGCGUUAUUUUUUUAGAGAGUUCUUAUCGAUAAAAAAGUUUACGACCUCGAUGUUGGAUUAAAGAUUAUUUUAGGCGCAGAAGUUUAAAAAUUUUGGUCUGUUCGACCAUUGAAUCUUUACAUGAUCUGAGUUCAGACCGGUGUAAGCCAGGUCGGUUUCUAUCUUUAAUAAAUUAAAAUAUUUUAGUACGAAAGGACCAAUUAUUUAAUAUAAAAUAUUUAAAUUUUGAUUAUUAUU